rnacentral:rRNA from 1 species
CAGUAGCCGCGGUAAUACGUAGGUGGCAAGCGUUGUCCGGAAUUAUUGGGCGUAAAGGGCUCGCAGGCGGUUUCUUAAGUCUGAUGUGAAAGCCCCCGGCUCAACCGGGGAGGGACAUUGGAAACUGGGAAACUUGAGUGCAGAAGAGGAGAGUGGAAUUCCACGUGUAGCGGUGAAAUGCGUAGAGAUGUGGAGGAACACCAGUGGCGAAGGCGACUCUCUGGUCUGUAACUGACGCUGAGGAGCGAAAGCGUGGGGAGCGAACAGGAUUAGAUACCCCAGUAGUCCCUGUCUCUUAUAC